rnacentral:rRNA from 1 species
GGAUUAGAUACCCCACUAUGCUUAGACUUACAAGAUUAAAUUCCGCCAGAAAAUUACGGGCGAAAGCCUAAAACUCAAAAGACUUGACGGUGCCCCACCUGCCUAGAGGAGCCUGUUCCAUAAUCGACAACCCACGAUAGACCAAACCACCCUUCGAUUUUUACUCAGCCUAUAUACCGCCGUCAACAGCCUACCUUUUAAAAGUAUAAAAGCCAGCCAAAAAGUAUAUCGCUAAAAAGUCAGGUCAAGGUGUAGCUUAUAGGGUGGAGCUAAUGGGCUACAUUAUUUAAUAUAAAUAAAACGAAUUAUAACCUGAAAAUAUAUAUGAAGGCGGAUUUAGCAGUAAAUUAAGCAAGAAAACUUAAUUUAACAUUAGCCCUGGGACAUGUACACACCGCCCGUCACCCUCC